rnacentral:rRNA from 1 species
UACAGAGGGGGCAAGCGUUGUUCGGAAUUACUGGGCGUAAAGGGCGCGUAGGCGGCCUUCUAAGUCAGACGUGAAAUCCCCGGGCUCAACCCGGGAACUGCGUCUGAUACUGGAUGGCUUGAAUCCGGGAGAGGGAUGUGGAAUUCCAGGUGUAGCGGUGAAAUGCGUAGAUAUCUGGAGGAACACCGGUGGCGAAGGCGGCAUCCUGGACCGGUAUUGACGCUGAGGCGCGAAAGCCAGGGGAGCAAACGGG